GCACGAGAAGCUGGAGCGCUCUCUUGUGAGCUGACGUAAUAGCGAUGGAAGGCACAACAGAAAGUGCCCUGAUAAAACAGCCACUGCUUGGAGCAAUUUGAGGAGGCAGUGCCACCUCCUGCUCCCGGCCCCUCGCUGCACGAUGCCGUGUCGCAGAAGGAAUGCGGUGAUCUCCUGAAGUUUCAACGAACCAGAGCCCCUUCAGCAUUUCAGACCCCGCAAUUCGCCUUCACCACGGGCGGUAACGGCCCCGCAGCGCGCAGUGCGUGACCCACGGCCGCCUUCCGCUGCACGAGUCCGGGAGGCGUGCGGUGCUCGAAGCGGGAUGAAAUGUCCGCUCCGCCCGGUGCCCCGCAGAGCGCCCAGUGCCCAGGAACACGGAGACCAGAGUUGCUGGAAACAAAACAGCCACCACUCGCUGACAGAGCGCGACCAGCUGCAUGGCACUGCCGAACUUAACCCCUCAGUAAUGUGAAGAGUCGGUGGGAAAUUCCCUGCAGUUCUGGAGUGAUCAAACACAGCGCCUACAAGUACUGAAAAUCCAGAGAUUUCUUCCACCAAACAUCUCUGCGUCACUUCUGGACAGACUCUUUCCAGGCAGAAGAGGAUCUUCAGGGAUGGCUCUGACAUCCCAAGCCCUGCCAGGGAGGGAUGUCUCUAUCUCCUGUUAGCUGAGAGCUUCCAUCUUCUGACUGCAAUGUGGAACCUUUUUUUGACUGAUAGAACACAUUUGCACUGCAGACUUCAGGGAACAGACAGGUGACUCCACAGCUCUUUCUGGCAUGACCAGAUGCAGUGCAGACACACUUUUAUUGUGCACCAGGUCUGCUAUGAGGGCAAAAAGUAAAAUGCAUUCAGAAGAGCACUGCGCAUACUGAGAACUUCCAGGAAGAGCAAACACUUAAAUGGGGGCUGUCUGCAGCAUCAGCAGCCCUUGCUAUCGAAACAAUAUUGUUUUCCUGCCUCACACCUCUUGCACAGUUCACUUUACGGCUAUGCAUGAAGCUGGGUUUGCAGCCCUGAAGUGCAGACAGGGAAAGAUAUUAGUAAAAACAAGGUCUUCCUCAAACCAAUUAAUGCUAAAAUGGAUUCAGGAACCAUGGAGGGAUGCAGGUCAGUUGGGAACUCAUAAAAAAACCUGUCUAUUACUGAUUCAUGAACACAUUUCUCCAUCUCAUUUUCCCACACAAAGUUCUUUGCAAACUUCAGCUGAAAUACCUGCGAACUUUUUUCAUCCUCUGAAAUGCAGCUGCCACCAGGACACAGCUGAAGUGUGGAAGUAGUCACUGAAUGCAUCAGCCCACAUGAGCUGGUUGGGAAACAGACUGUGUUUACAGUACAAA